rnacentral:rRNA from 2 species
AUCUUGGAGAGUUUGAUCCUGGCUCAGGACGAACGCUGGCGGCGUGCUUAACACAUGCAAGUCGAACGAAGAGCGAUGGAAGCUUGCUUCUAUCAAUC